AUUGAACGCUGGCGGCAGGCUUAACACAUGCAAGUCGAGCGGAGCGGGGGACGGGUGAGUGAUGCCUAGGAAUCUGCCUGUUCGCGGUGGAUGACGUUAGCAAACGGGAGCUGAUGCCACAUACUAUCAGAUGAGCAUAGGUCGGAUUAGCUAGUUGGUGGGGUAAAGGCCUACCAAGGCAACGAUCCGUAACUGGUCUGAGAGGAUGAUCAGCCACACUGGGACUGAGACACGGCCCAGACUCCUACGGGAGGCAGCAGUGGGGAAUAUUGGACAAUGGGCGAAAGCCUGAUCCAGCCAUGCCGCGUGUGUGAAGAAGGUCUUCGGGUUGUAAAGUACUUUAAGCUGAGAGGCGGUACCAACAGAAUAAGCACCGGCUAACUACGUGCCAGCAGCCGCGGUAAUUC
rnacentral:rRNA from 1 species